UGACACCCGGCAGGGGCAGAACGUUAACGUGAGGUGGUCGGGGGGGCUCAGGGAGAGGGAAGCGCGGCUGCUCCCAGCGCGUGAGAGGCCAGGGCGUGACCAAGGGGCUCGACGGGCUGAGUAACCACGGGAAGGGGCGUCCGAGCUAAUUCCCCAGAUGAGCCAGAAGACGGUGCUGCCGAGGGCGCAAAGGGGCCCGUGGUGUUUGGACGCGCCUGGCCAGCUGGCAGCGCUGGGGUGAGCGUGUUCACCUGCACCUGAUGGGGUCGCUGUGCCUGAGGGGUUGGAGCACACAGGACCCCUGGGAGGGCUUUUGAACGUGCCAGGUAAGGAGCCUUUACCCCUGCCCCACCCCUUUGUCCACCUCACCCACCUGAGAGUUUAGGGUCCUUUAUGGUAAUCCCUUGAGUGCCCAGCAGACCUCAAAGGUACCCCCUUAGCUGUCUAAGCGUCUAUGGCUGCUUUUCAAAAGGGCUAGCAGUGUCUACUGAAAACCAUGGAGAAUCUUCCUCACCCUACCCCAUUGAGAACAAUAGAGGAUUCCACCGCCCACCCCCCACCCCCCUGAGAAUACUGCAGGGGUCUUGGACCCCAGCUGAGAACAAUGGGAGCGGCUGUGUGCUGAGCUCUUUGGUAAAUCUGGACACUCAUUUCCACCAAGCGAGCUCCUGAAACUCCAGCCUUGGCUCCAGCUCUAUUAGAGACUGUCACGGUGGUUUAGUGUGAGUUCGAAGCGCCCGUGGGGUCCUGUGUGUGCUGCUCACCCUGAUGCAAUCUAAGGGCAUGGAAAGGAAUGUUCCAAGAUGGUGUAAUUGACUGAUUUCUGUUUUCUCAGUUACUUUUAUUGUAAAUGAAAUAAAACCAUAGCAGAUCAGUGACAAGCUGGGGAUGAAGGUGCCAUGUCAAUGUGAGUCAUUGUCAGUGAGAGGUGCUGAAAGCAAAGAUGGGACUCAUGAUAUAGACACACUACAGGCACUCAGCCAUGCAAAUACAAAAACUCAACGCUGUUAGAAGAAACUCCAUACUUAUUUGCUGCGUGGACGUUAGAAGGCAGCAGAGCUGGAAGGUAGGUUUGCUUAGAGACAAGGAUGGUCGCACUGUCCCCUCUGAGUAGAAACAGCUACUCAGUGUCAGAAGCUAAACUGUCCUCUGCGGUGAUACUUACAAAACACUUGACAACGGCUGGUGGGCUGAGACCACUGUCAUUUUGCUGACCAGUAUUGUCUCUUUGUGCUCCUCCGUCUGUCUGCCGGUUCCCUCCUGUUGUCUCUCGUUGCAGACGGUAGACUCUUUGGGGC